UAAACCUGCUGGGGGAGCUUUAUGCUGAGAGGAUUUGCUGUGUCCGACCCUUUGAACCUGUAGGGUUAAUGCCUGCGUAGGGAAGCAACAGUCAUACUUA
rnacentral:ncRNA from 2 species